rnacentral:tRNA from 1 species
GGCCAGGGUGCCCUGGCCGGAAUAGGCGAUCUGCGCAUUGGCAAUGCGCAACGAUGACACCUGGUUGUUCGAAUCGAUGUCGGCCGC